rnacentral:rRNA from 1 species
UGGUGGAGUGAUUUGUCUGGUUAAUUCCGUUAACGAACGAGACCUCAGCCUGCUUUUGUAGUCGUAGCUAUCUCCGGAUAGUUCUCAUGACUUCUUAGAGGGACUAUCGGGAUUUAAACCGAUGGAAGUUUGAGGCAAUAACA